CCUACGGGAGGCAGCAGUAAGGAAUAUUGGACAAUGGGGGCAACCCUGAUCCAGCCAUGCCGCGUGCAGGAAGACGGCCCUAUGGGUUGUAAACUGCUUUUGUUUGGGAAUAAACCCCGUCUACGUGUAGAGGGUUGAAUGUACCAAAAGAAUAAGGAUCGGCUAACUCCGUGCCAGCAGCCGCGGUAAUACGGAGGAUCCAAGCGUUAUCCGGAUUUAUUGGGUUUAAAGGGUGCGUAGGCGGUCUUAUAAGUCAGUGGUGAAAUCUCGUCGCUUAACGACGAAACUGCCAUUGAUACUGUAAGACUUGAGUACAGAUGAGGUGGGCGGAAUGUGACAAGUAGCGGUGAAAUGCUCAGAUAUGUCACAGAACACCGAUUGCGAAGGCAGCUCACUAAGGUGUAACUGACGCUGAGGCACGAAAGCGUGGGGAUCAAACAGGAUUAGAUACCCUGGUAGUCCACGCCCUAAACGAUGAUAACUCGCUGUCGGCGAUACACAGCCGGUGGCAAAGCGAAAGCGUUAAGUUAUCCNCNGAGACGACGCAGUAGANANAAGAGUAGNGNGNGAGAGNGCGAGACGACGACGAGGGAGGAGG
rnacentral:rRNA from 1 species